AUUGAACGCUGGCGGAAUGCUUUACACAUGCAAGUCGAACGGCAGCACGGGGCAACCUGGUGGCGAGUGGCGAACGGGUGAGUAAUACAUCGGAACGUGCCCAAUCGUGGGGGAUAACGUAGCGAAAGUUACGCUAAUACCGCAUACGAUCUACGGAUGAAAGCGGGGGAUCGCAAGACCUCGCGCGAAUGGAGCGGCCGAUGUCAGAUUAGGUAGUUGGUGGGGUAAAGGCCUACCAAGCCAACGAUCUCUAGCUGGUCUGAGAGGACGACCAGCCACGCGGGAACUGGGAACCGGCCCAGACGCCUAAGGGAGGCAGCAGUGGGGAAUUUUGGACAAUGGGCGCAAGCCUGAUCCAGCCAUUCCGCGUGCAGGAUGAAGGCCUUCGGGUUGUAAACUGCUUUUGUACGGAACGAAACGGUUCUCUCUAAUACAGGGGGCUAAUGACGGUACCGUAAGAAUAAGCACCGGCUAACUACGUGCCAGCAGCCGCCGUAAAAC
rnacentral:rRNA from 1 species